rnacentral:rRNA from 1 species
CAUCGAGUUUUUGAACGCAAGUUGCGCCCGAGGCCACCCGGCCGAGGGCACGCCUGCCUGGGCGUCACGCCUCGCGUCGCUCUGCCUACCUUGCCCUGAGCACCCCGUGCUCUUACGGCUGCGGGCGGCGGAUGCG